rnacentral:rRNA from 1 species
UACGAAGGGGGCGAGCGUUGUUCGGAAUUACUGGGCGUAAAGGGCGCGCAGGCGGUUCUCCAAGUCCGUUGUGAAAGCCCCGGGCUCAACCUGGGAAUGGCAGUGGAAACUAGGGGACUGGAAUCUGGCAGAGGGGGGUGGAAUGCCGCGUGUAGCAGUGAAAUGCGUAGAGAUGCGGCGGAACACCGAUGGCGAAGGCAGCCCCCUGGGCUGAGAUUGACGCUCAGGCACGAAAGCGUGGGGAGCAAACAGG